UUCCAGACUCCUACGGGAGGCAGCAGUGGGGAAUAUUGCACAAUGGGGGAAACCCUGAUGCAGCGGCGCCGCGUGAGCGAUGAAGUAUUUCGGUAUGUAAAGCUCUAUCAGCAGGGAAGAAGAUGACGGUACCUGACUAAGAAGCCCCGGCUAACUACGUGCCAGCAGCCGCGGUAAUACGUAGGGGGCAAGCGUUAUCCGGAUUUACUGGGUGUAAAGGGAGCGUAGACGGCGAUGCAAGCCAGAUGUGAAAGCCCGGGGCUCAACCCCGGGACUGCAUUUGGAACUGUGUGGCCGGAGUGUCGGAGAGGCAGGCGGAAUUCCUAGUGUAGCGGUGAAAUGCGUAGAUAUUAGGAGGAACACCAGUGGCGAAGGCGGCCUGCUGGACGAUGACUGACGUUGAGGCUCGAAAGCGUGGGGAGCAAACAGGAUUAGAUACCCCUGUAUG
rnacentral:rRNA from 1 species